rnacentral:tRNA from 1 species
GCCGGUGUGAUGGAAUUGGCAGACGUAACGGAUUCAAAAUCCGUCGGGCUCACGCCCGUGCCGGUUCGAGUCCGGCCACCGGCACCA